rnacentral:rRNA from 1 species
CAUACCUAUUCGAAGGGAUAGGGUCGGUUUGGCCGGAUUUCACACAGGUGUUGCAUGGCUGUCGUCAGCUCGUGUCGUGAGAUGUUGGGUUAAGUCCCGCAACGAGCGCAACCCUCAUCCUUAGUUGCCAUCAGGUAAUGCCGAGCACUUUAAGGAAACUGCCAGUGAUAAGCUGGAGGAAGGUGGGGAUGAUGUCAAGUCAUCAUGGCCUUUAUGGAGUGGGCUACACACGUGCUACAAUGGUGUCUACAAUGGGUUGCAAGGUGCGCAAGCCUAAGCUAAUCCCUAAAAGACAUCUCAGUUCGGAUUGUACUCUGCAACUCGAGUACAUGAAGUUGGAAUCGCUAGUAAUCGUGGAUCAGCAUGCCACGGUGAAUACGUUCUCGGGUCUUGUACACACUGCCCGUCACGCCAUGGGAAUUGGUUUCACUCGAAGCU